rnacentral:rRNA from 1 species
UACGUAGGUGGCGAGCGUUGUCCGGAUUUACUGGCGUAAAGCGUGCGCAGGCGGCUUCGCAAGUCAGACGUGAAAUCCCCGGGCUUAACCUGGGGAAUGGCGUUUGGGACUGGGAGUCUGGAGUGCGGCAGAGGAGACUGGAAUCCUGGUGUAGCAGUGAAAUCGCGUAGAUAUCAGGAGGAACACCGGUGGCGAAGGCGGCGACCUGGGUCGACCACUGACGCCUGAGGCGCGAAAGCGUGGGAGCAACAGG